CGACGCCGCGUGAGGGAUGGAGGCCUUCGGGUUGUGAACCUCUUUCGCCUGUGGUCAAGCCGCAACUGUGGGUUGUGGUGAGUGUAGUGGGUAAAGAAGCGCCGGCUAACUACGUGCCAGCAGCCGCGGUAAUACGUAGGGCGCGAGCGUUGUCCGGAAUUAUUGGGCGUAAAGGGCUUGUAGGCGGCUGGUCGCGUCUGCCGUGAAAUCCUCUGGCUUAACUGGGGGCGUGCGGUGGGUACGGGCUGGCUUGAGUGCGGUAGGGGAGGCUGGAACUCCUGGU
rnacentral:rRNA from 1 species